rnacentral:rRNA from 1 species
GCCCCUAGCAGCAUACAAGUAUUAGGGGUAAUGCCUGCCCAGUGACAUUGUUAAACGGCCGCGGUAUCCUAACCGUGCAAAGGUAGCGUAAUCACUUGUCUUUUAAAUAAAGACUAGAAUGAAUGGCCAAACGAGGUUCUACCUGUCUCUUACAAAUAAUCAGUGAAAUUGAUCUUCCUGUGCAAAAGCAGGAAUAAAACUAUAAGACGAGAAGACCCUGUGGAACUUUAAAUACAAGUCAACUAUCAUCAAUAUUCACCCACGGGCCUACACCCAACUAUACCUGACUUAUAUUUUUCGGUUGGGGCGACCUCGGAGCAAAACAAAACCUCCGAAAAAUAGAAUUUAACCUAUACCUAGACACACAACCCAAAGUGCUUCCGGCAAAAUGAUCCAAUAUAUUUGAUCAACGAACCAAGCUACCCCAGGGAUAACAGCGCAAUCCCAUCCUAGAGUUCCUAUCGACAAUGGGGUUUACGACCUCGAUGUUGGAUCAGGACAUCCUGAUGGUGCAGCCGCUAUCAAGGGUUCGUUUGUUCAACGAUUAACAGUCCUACGUGA